UGGAGCCCUAACAAUGAAAAUUUACUUGUGUGUAUAUAAGGAUAUUAUCCCUUUUGAUCAUUUAAAUAGAUAUGGAUAGUGAUAGAAAUCUGUGUGUGUGUGUGUUUUUUUAAGGUAUUGCCAUCAGAGAGUCAGCAAAGGUAGUUGACCAAGCCCAAAGGAGAGUGUUGAGGGGAGUUGAUGACCUUGACUUUUUCAUAGGAGAUGAAGCCAUCGAUAAACCUACAUAUGCUACAAAGUGGCCGAUACGACAUGGAAUCAUUGAAGACUGGGAUCUUAUGGAAAGGUUCAUGGAGCAAGUGGUUUUUAAAUAUCUUCGAGCUGAACCUGAGGACCAUUAUUUUUUAAUGUAGGCCAUCCAGGACAUGUGCAAGCCAGCGACACUACGGGCAGUUCUGGGAGCCAGUUUAUAUACCAACUCCUGAUGGUACGUCCAGCCUGCUGCCCAGGAAGGAAGCCAGUGCUGGCACCUGGAAGGCGCCUGGCGUGUAUGGGAGCACCAAGAGCAUGGGGAGGUGCACUGCAGCAGGCAGCACAGACCUACAGUCUGUUAUCACAGUCUCGCUCUCUGUAAUAAGCACGUUAAUAAGGUAAUAAGGAGGUUACAUUGCUGUUUGAAUUUGCUUUCCUUGACUAAGCAUCUCUUCAUGCUCAAAAGUCUUUUAUAUGUCUUCUUCUGUGAAUUCUUUUGUGUCAUUUGCUCAUUUAUCUACUUGUAUGGUUUUUGCCUUGAAG
rnacentral:lncRNA from 1 species